rnacentral:rRNA from 1 species
GGAUCCAGACUUUGAUCCUGGCUCAGGACGAACGCUGGCGGCGCGCCUAACACAUGCUAGUCGAACGAGAGAUGAGGAGCUUGCUCUUCAAAUCGAGUGGCGAACGGGUGAGUAACGCGUGAGGAACCUGCCUCAAAGAGGGGGACAACAGUUGGAAACGACUGCUAAUACCGCAUAAGCCCACGGCUCGGCAUCGAGCAGAGGGAAAAGGAGCAAUCCGCUUUGAGAUGGCCUCGCGUCCGAUUAGCUAGUUGGUGAGGUAAUGGCCCACCAAGGCGACGAUCGGUAGCCGGACUGAGAGGUUGAACGGCCACAUUGGGACUGAGACACGGCCCAGACUCCUACGGGAGGCAGCAGUGGGGAAUAUUGCACAAUGGGGGAAACCCUGAUGCAGCGACGCCGCGUGGAGGAAGAAGGUCUUCGGAUUGUAAACUCCUGUUGUUGAGGAAGAUAAUGACGGUACUCAACAAGGAAGUGACGGCUAACUACGUGCCAGCAGCCGCGGUAAAACGUAGGUCACAAGCGUUGUCCGGAAUUACUGGGUGUAAAGGGAGCGCAGGCGGGAGAACAAGUUGGAAGUGAAAUCCAUGGGCUCAACCCAUGAACUGCUUUCAAAACUGUUUUUCUUGAGUAGUGCAGAGGUAGGCGGAAUUCCCGGUGUAGCGGUGGAAUGCGUAGAUAUCGGGAGGAACACCAGUGGCGAAGGCGGCCUACUGGGCACCAACUGACGCUGAGGCUCGAAAGUGUGGGUAGCAAACAGGAUUAGAUACCCUGGUAGUCCACACCGUAAACGAUGAUUACUAGGUGUUGGAGGAUUGACCCCUUCAGUGCCGCAGUUAACACAAUAAGUAAUCCACCUGGGGAGUACGACCGCAAGGUUGCAACU